UAAGUCCCGCAACGAGCGCAACCCUUGUCCUUAGUUGCCAGCAUUAAGUUGGGCACUCUAAGGAGACUGCCGGUGACAAACCGGAGGAAGGUGGGGAUGACGUCAAGUCAUCAUGGCCCUUACGGCCAGGGCUACACACGUGCUACAAUGGUCGGUACAGAGGGUUGCCAAGCCGCGAGGUGGAGCUAAUCCCAUAAAACCGAUCGUAGUCCGGAUUGGAGUCUGCAACUCGACUCCAUGAAGUCGGAAUCGCUAGUAAUCGUGGAUCAGAAUGCCACGGUGAAUACGUUCCCGGGCCUU
rnacentral:rRNA from 1 species